rnacentral:rRNA from 1 species
AGUAACGCGUGAGGAACCUGCCUCAAAGAGGGGGACAACAGUUGGAAACGACUGCUAAUACCGCAUAAGCCCACGGCUCGGCAUCGAGCAGAGGGAAAAGGAGCAAUCCGCUUUGAGAUGGCCUCGCGUCCGAUUAGCUAGCUGGUGAGGUAACGGCCCACCAAGGCAACGAUCGGUAGCCGGACUGAGAGGUUGAACGGCCACAUUGGGACUGAGACACGGCCCAG